CAAAGAUAAUGUUUGGAGUUCAGCGGUCAAAAAAACCCUAAUGACUGCACUUAUGGAGCCAAUGAGGGUCCAGCCAUUGUGUGAGUCUGGAUUCGUAGGAGAUCACGUUUUAUUCCAAAUCACAUCCUCACUUUUGUCUUGGUCUGAAUGGAAACAUUAGGGGAAACAUAGAGGAAAAUCAGAAAGGAAUUUCCAGCAACUAGUGGGAAUAUUAAUAUUUCAUGAUCCCAUCUCUACCUUUAAUGAUGUGGAGUGGUACUGAUGGUGGUGUCUCAUCCAUUCUUCGUAUUUCACAUAAAUGCACUGAAUAUAAC